GAUGAACGCUGGCGGCGUGCCUAAUACAUGCCAGUCGAGCGAACGGACGAGAAGCUUGCUUCUCUGAUGUUAGCGGCGGAAGGGUGAGUAACACGUGGAUAACCUACCUAUAAGACUGGGAUAACUUCGGGAAACCGGAGCUAAUACCGGAUAAUAUUUUGAACCGCAUGGUUCAAAAGUGAAAGACGGUCUUGCUGUCACUUAUAGAUGGAUCCGCGCUGCAUUAGCUAGUUGGUAAGGUAACGGCUUACCAAGGCAACGAUGCAUAGCCGACCUGAGAGGGUGAUCGGCCACACUGGAACUGAGACACGGUCCAGACUCCUACGGGAGGCAGCAGUAGGGAAUCUGCCGCAAUGGUCGAAAGCCUGACGGAGCAACGCCGCGUGAGUGAUGAAGGUCUUCGGAUCGUAAAACUCUGUUAUUAGUGAAGAACAUAUGUGUAAGUAACUGUGCACAUCUUGACGGUACCUAAUCAGAAAGCCACGGCUAACUACGUG
rnacentral:rRNA from 1 species